GCCGCCGUCGUCCAGAGGUUUAGCAUGUUAGAUUGUGGCUCUAAAGAACGAGGUUCGAACCCUCGCGGCAAUU
rnacentral:tRNA from 1 species